UUUUUUUGCGAUCACACGCAAUCAAUACAACUUUCAACAACGGAUCUCUUGGCUCUCGCAUCGAUGAAGAACGCAGCGAAAUGCGAUACGUAAUGUGAAUUGCAGAAUUCAGUGAAUCAUCGAAUCUUUGAACGCACCUUGCGCCCUUUGGCAUUCCGAAGGGCACACCCGUUUGAGUGUCGUGACAUUCUCAAACCUUCUUGGUUUCUUAACUGAGAAGGCUUUGGACUUUGGAGGCUUUUGCUGGACCUUCCUUUGUUGAAGCCAGCUCCUCUUAAAUGAAUUAGUGGGGUCUGCUUUGCUGAUCCUUGACGUGAUAAGAUGCUUCUACGUCUUGGGUUUUGCACUGUUUGCUCUAGAUCCUGCUUCUAACCGUCUCAUAGAAGACAAAUGGUCGACUUGACCCACNAACCUUGACCUCAAAUNGGGUGAGACUACCCGCUGAACUUAAGCAUAUCAAUAAGCGGAGGAAAAGAAACUAACAAGGAUUCCCCUAGUAACUGCGAGUGAAGCGGGAAAAGCUCAAAUUU
rnacentral:rRNA from 1 species